rnacentral:lncRNA from 1 species
AUGAAUGGUCAGGGUCCACUGCUGUCUCCUGUGUAUCUCCUGCCUCUCCUCGCUCUUUCUCGCUCUUUAGCCAUUUAUCUUGCUGGGGUCUUGUGCCUGGUUAGGCAGAUGGCACUUCUGGGCUGUUGUCAGCUCAGGAUACUGGAGAGGGAAGUGGCCGCAGGGGCAGGAGAAGGGAAGGAAGAGAGAGCGAAAGAACUGAGUGGCAGAAGUGUCAGGUUGUCAGGAAACAGGCUGGAUCACACAGAGGCGCUGGGGCUCCCAGGGAGGACUUUGACUUCUCUGAGUCAGGUAGGAGGCAGGGUAGUAUUUGAGCAGAACAGGCUGGGACAGGAUUUGACUUCAUUUCUGAAGGGUCCUUCUGCUUAUAGACCAGGAUCUGCAGUAGUUUUGACAGUUUUUAGAUAAGAAAAAUGGAAUGAGCUAAUAGUUCCUGUGGCUGGAACCAUCAUGAAGGAUCAAAGAAUCCACCCUUGGGGGCUAAACAUGUGACCCUGGCUUCAAAUCAGCUCUAUCACUUACUAAGUGACCUUGGACCAGUGGUUCCCACGUAGGGUUACUUCCACCCCCAAGGGACAUUAGGCAAUGUCUGGAGACAUUUUUGGUUGUCACAACUGGGGGGAAAAAGCACUCUCCUGGUGUCUAUUGGUGAGAGGCCAGGAAUGAAGCAUCCUGUAACACUCAGGCCAGCCCACCUCCAAGAAAAAUUCUCCCACCCAAAAUGUCAGUGGUGCUGAAGUUGAGAAAUGCUGGUUUAGGUAAAAAUUUUUCAUCUCUCCGUACCUCAAAUUCUUAAUUCCUAAAAAUGGAAGUAGCAGUUCUCCUAGGAUUUUGCCAAGAACAUGAAAGUCAACCCACUACAAGCAGGGACCAGGGCCUGGCUGGAGGUCAGUGAUACAGCAUUUGCCUCCAUGCACAAGGCCCUGGGUUAGGGCUUUAGCGUGCUUGCGCAUGUGCACACACACCCAUACACACACACAUUAUAUUAGUAGCAAUAAUAAAUAAAGCAAAGACUAGCAAAAUUCUCCUGCAAAAGGCCAGGAGGUGAAUGUUUCUGGCCUUCGGGACACCAUGGUCACGGAGGUAAUUCCUCAGCUCUGCCACUGCAGACAGAUGAUACAUAAACAGUUUGGACACUGGGAUUGGAAUUCCCUAUAAUCUUCACAUGUCACAAAAUAAUUUCCUUCUUUUGACUUAUUUCAACUGCUUACAAGUAUGAAAACUAUUCUUAGUUCACUGACUGCAUAAAACAGACAGUGGGCUGGAUUUGGUGAGCCAAGCCCUGACCUAAAGACCUUGAUGGAAGCUGAGCAUUGGCAAAGAUGCCAUCAAUGCUGUCACGCUCGAGGGAGGAGCUAAGGCAGCAGCUGGUGCCCCGACUGCUCCAGUCCUGCCACGUGGGUCUCCACUGGACCUCAGCAGUUACAGAGCAC